CAAACCAUAUAUUUUUGAAAAGUAGACAACCCACGGUAUUCAAAAUGGGGUAUGUCCAGUCUUUUUUUAGUAGCCAUUUAGUCACAAACACUGGCCAAAGUUAGCAUUUAUAUUUGUUUAUGUUAAAAACACAAAAAACAAAUAUGAACACUAACUUUGGCCAGUGUUUGUGACUGAGUGACUACUAAAAAAGACUGAAGAUACCCCAUUUGCAAUACCUUGGGUUGUCUUCUUUUGCAAAUGGCAUG